rnacentral:lncRNA from 1 species
GCAGAGACUGAGAAAACUCAGCCUGGGGCUCGGGACUCAGAGGCUUCUCCUUGGAAGCUGCUUCCCAUUCCGUGACCUGGGAAACCACUGAAGAUCUGAACAUGGGAACGUGGCUGGAGCCCAAGGAAAGGCUCCUCCAUGAAGCUGUCCCCCCAAACUUGUGAGGGGCACACUGGGAAAUCCCCUGCCACCAGCCACAUCUUCACCAGGCAGACCACCUGUCCACCCACACCUCUGUGGACUGACCUCCAUCGUGUGGAGAGGUGUAACCAGCCAGGU